rnacentral:rRNA from 1 species
CCUACGGGGGGCUGCAGUAGGGAAUUUUGCGCAAUGGGGGAAACCCUGACGCAGCGACGCCGCGUGGGUGAAGAAGGCCUUCGGGUCGUAAAACCCUGUCCUCUGGGAAGAAACGGACGGUACCAGAGGAGGAAGCCCCGGCUAACUACGUGCCAGCAGCCGCGGUAAUACGUAGGGGGCGAGCGUUGUCCGGAAUUACUGGGCGUAAAGGGUGCGUAGGCGGCCUAUUAAGUUGUGUGUGAAAGACUGGGGCUUAACCCCAGGGUUGCAUGCAAAACUGGUAGGCUUGAGUGCAGGAGAGGAGAGUGGAAUUCCCGGUGUAGCGGUGGAAUGCGUAGAUAUCGGGAGGAACACCAGUGGCGAAGGCGACUCUCUGGACUGUAACUGACGCUGAGGCACGAAAGCUGGGGGAGCAAACAGGAUUAGAUACCCUGGUAGUC